AUACGUAGGUGACAAGCGUUAUCCGGAUUUACUGGGCGUAAAGGGCGUGUAGGCGGUCUUGCAAGUCAGGCGUGAAAUGCAAAGGCUCAACCAUUGAAUUGCGCUUGAAACUGUAAUUCUUGAGAGUGGGAGAGGUAAACGGAAUUCCUGGUGUAGUAGUGAAAUGCGUAGAUAUCAGGAGGAACACCGGUGGCGAAGGCGGUUUACUGGACCACAACUGACUCUGAGACACGAAAGCGUGGGGAGCAAACGGGAUUAGAGGCCCUGUUAGUCCACGCCGUAAACGAUGUCUACUAGCCGUUGGGGGAUUUGAUCCUUUAGUGGCGCAGCUAACGCGAUAAGUAGACCGCCUGGGGAGUACGGUCGCAAGACUAAAACUCAAAUGAAUUGACGGGG
rnacentral:rRNA from 1 species